rnacentral:lncRNA from 1 species
UAACAAAAAAUAAGUUUAUGUUUAUUUGAUUUUCAGACGGCUAGCAAACUGUAUUUGGUUUACUGAAACCAAAAUACACAGUAGUUUGAAUUGUCGUUGUCGCCAACAAAUAGGAUGACACACAAGACUUUGGUAGUGAUGAGAGACUGUUUACAAAAACUUAUCUCUUGUUACUACCACUAUCCCGGACUUCAUUUCCAUUUGGUUGAUUGUCGCUUGUCUUCAAAACAUCGAAACCCGUAUUCACUGAAUUGAAAGCGGAAUUGAGGGGCUAUGACAGAAUAGAAAAAUCUGGUUAAUACGUUAGUAACGGCAUAAUAAAGCAAAAUUACAGCCAGCUACUAACCGAAUAAAAGGACUGAAGAAAGCAAACAAUCAACUAUGAUCAUGUUCAUGAAUAGUGCCUUCGAAGCAAUAUUCCCCGAAUAUAAAGAACUCCAUUGCA